rnacentral:lncRNA from 1 species
ACCCAUUAAAGUCUGGGGUUAAUUAUUAGACAGCUCACUGUUUUUUCAUACACAACUAGGCUUACAAUAGCCAUACCAGUUUUUUCCAGCCAUAGCAAGGCUAAACAAACACACACAAGUAUCAAUAGAAAGAUUGCAUGCCUAUUUAUUUUAGUAGCUUAAUAUGGCAUGAAUCCUGUACAGAUCCUUGGGUGGUCUUUGCUCAAUCAUCAUAGUGCUUGCGUUGGUGGUGAUGCUUAUGGCGGUGUUUCUUCUUCUCAUCAUCGUCGUCAUCAUCAUCAGAGUUGUUAUCAUCACCCUGCCAAUUACACAUGUAAUCAGAUGUUUAUUGAUAUCAGCCAACCAUAAACAAUAAUGAACUAGCUUUUUACUUGCAGAACAUAAAAUUCAACUCCUCGUGGUUACAACUGCGAACUGAUUAAAAUAAAUCCCUGUUCGUCUAGGAAGCAACCAAUUUAAAAACUUAAGCCACCAUACAACUGAAAAUCAAAUGUGACAAGAAAUUGGAAUGCAAAUUACUUUUUUUGCAUGCAAUGUAAUAAAACAAUGUCCAAAGAUUUGAUAUGCGAUUCAGAACAAGAGCAAUUAAGUUUAGGGAGAUGUUUAUGGAGCCCCAUAUGCUGCAAGCAGAAAUUACCAAGGCAUCAACAAUAAUCACUUUCUCCAUUCUAAAAUAUAAGAUAAUUAUUUACUUUUUAUAAGUCAAUUUGAAACGUUUUCUAACUCAAAACUGAUAUAGAUUCAUAUAAUUUUGGACAUGGCAAAAUUAAAACUAAAAAGUACAUCACAUGGCAAGAUUUAUUGUUUUAUAACUUUUAAUGAAUAAUCUAAAUUCUGAAUUUGAAGAUGUCUCUCACAUUAAUUUUAAAAAGUCAAUAAUAAUCUUAUAAUUUGAAACGGAGGGAUUACUACUUUCUCAACAAUAGUAUAGUAACCUUGAUGUUUCCACCAUGCCAAACAACAUAAAUACACCAUACACACUGUUCUAAAAAUCCCCGCCUAGGCGCUAGGCCCCCCUUGGCGCCCCGUCUAGGCGCUAGGCGGCAAAAAAAUCCCUUCAGGAAAUUAGGCGGAGCCUAGACGGAGAGUUUUUAUUUUUAUUUUAAUAACUACCUAAAUCAGAUCUUGAUAUAUUUAUUUUUCUAAUGAUUUACUAUAUUCAUAAUACAGGUUGUAGUAUAUCAAAUCACAACAAGAAGUGAUCAAUAUCAAGUCAAAAUUGAUAAUUUUAUUAUAAUUGUAAUUUUUUAAAUUUGUGCCAACUUCAAAUUAUAUAAAUGAUGAUACAUUUGUAAUAUUUAGUUUAAUUUAAUAUAAUUCUUAAAUUUAUGUUUAGUUUCUUAAGUUUUAAUAUUGAAUUAAAUUCUUAAAAUUUUAAAUUUUAUUAUUUAAUAGCAAUCAUGUUUAUGAAUAAAACUAAUACGUUAAAAAUAUGUUUGAACUUUAAACAAUUGCAUGUUUGUGUUUGAUCUUUGACAUUAACAAUAUAGAUAUGUGUUUGAACUUUAAGCAAAUAUCUUUAUUAUCUUUAAUAUAGAUUGUUUUGCUUUAUAUUAUUGUUUUGUUUAGAUAAAUGUAAGAUAAAAUAUUAAAAUUGGCUUAAAAUAAAAAAUCCCGCCCAGGCCCCCUAAGAGCUAGGCCCCCUCGGCCGCCUGCCUCCCGCCUAGCGCCUUUUAGAACAUUGACCAUACAUUUCAAAAGGUUAUAUUUUCUUUCUACAAGUACUCAUGGGAGAUUAGCGACUUCAGCACGCAUGGGUUCCAAGUGAUUAGAAGAAAAUUUAUGAUGCACACUCAAUGAUGCAUGAACAACUAAAUUCUCAAUCAUUCUGUGGAAAAACAACUAAAAAAAAUAAUAAAGUCAAACCAAAGGCAGCCCAACAGUAAGAGAUCAACAAAGAGAGGGUAUAAGAAAUUAAGUCAUCCGUCCAAGGGACAAAACCUUCUGGAGUUUCAUAACUCAACCUUCUCUCACAUACAAACUAGCGAGGCGCAUAGCAUACCUACUGAGAGAAUAUCGAUCAUGUGACUAAGGUGGUAACCAAGUUAUCGACUUCUGUUAAUUGUCAUAUAAAGCUGUAUUAAUAAACAUUAUCAAAAGGUGGAAACCUAUAUUCAUAGAUAUAAUAAUCCUAUCAAAAUGAGUAGAAUGUUAUCAACUACUGUAAAAGUAUGGUAACACUAAACAGUUUCAUCAAUAUAACACAGACAGUAGUAGAUUUUACCAACCUAGGGAUAACUACAUGAACUCAUCAGUUGCUUAGAUAGACCUUCAAAACUUAAAUGGAUAAUCAGACAUUUAAUUUGUGUUGUAUAGUUUCUCUCCCUGUUUAACAGGAAUUCUGAUGUUUUGUGUCCCUAAGGUUCCACCCCCUUUGGCAGUUCUUUAUUAAUAAAUUUGUGCUUAUUUGAUUUGUUACUGUUGAUCUUUUAUCAGAGUUAAAUUUUUGAACAUGAUUCAGGUCGUGUGUCUUAGUGGGCCAGGUAAACCUGCCUUUUGCAACUCCAUUUAUACAUGGGCAACACCACUUGGUUCCUCUUUAAUUAUAGAGUAAUGCUAUGAACACAAAUAAUACACAAAAAGUUUUACACAAAUUGUAUUAAGGAAGAGAGAAAAUAAGAAGUGGGACUUACCAUUGGAUGUUUUACACAUUUUCAUUGGUAUGCAAUAGAUGAGUCUUACUCUUUAUGCACAAUAUUUUGUGCAUAGUGUGCACAUAGUAUUAUUAUUAAUUAUAUUAUUUUACUUAACAUAAAAAAUUGUAAGAUUUAUAUUGGCAUAUUAAUACUACAUAAUCCAAUUUCAUGCAAGUUAGAUUUUUUCCUAAUGAGCUCACCUGCUUACAUAAAAAUUUUGCAUUUGACACUUGCCACCCCCUUCACUAAAACUACUUCUUAUGGGUAAAAUGGCCAAUGCAUCUAAUAAAAUUAUGAUGUAGAAAAUGCUCAAAAUUAUAAAUUAGAUGAAUGCCAUAUAACUAUAAAGAUUCACAGGGAGGCAGCUCUUAAAAGGUAAUAUUAAACCCAAAUAGUCAAGGCACUCCCUAAAAAAUUGUUAACACACAUAUACACAAACACAUAACAAGAUAAUUAUGUAGAAAAACACAAUUAGGCAGCAAUACAUAUUUGCAGUAUUAACCAAAAAGUUAGAAAUGCAAGAGAUGUUGAUAAAAUGCAUGAAAGGAGAUUAACUAAUAAGCUCACAUAUUUUUUGGUACCAUAGCUCCUUUCGUUGUCAUCAUCAUCAUCACCACGCCUCUCAUAGCUAGGCUUCCUAUAUUCCCCCUGCUCAGAUCGCCCAUAGCUGGAUCCUCCAUACCCCUCACUUUCCUGAGUUUCAUAACUCUGUCUCCCGUAACUCGGGGCCUCAUGCUCAGUCCUCUCUGACCUCCCACCAUAUCCACCAGACUCAUAUUCCGAGGUGGGCUUCCUCCCAUACCCAGAUCCAUACUCUUCUGACUCCGUUUUUCGCCCAUACCCAGAUCCGUACUCCGAACUAGGCUGCUCAUUUUCACUCUUUCGUCCAUAUCCGGAUCCAUACUCGGAACUGGGCUGCUCAUACUCGUUCUUUCGCUCGUACCCAGACUCAUAUUCCGAGGUGGGCUUCCUCCCAUACCCAGAUCCAUACUCUUCUGACUCCGUUUUUCGCCCAUACCCAGAUUCAGAUCCAUACACUUGCUGAUCGUAUUCACUCUUCCUCCCAUACCCAGAUCCGUACUCCGAACUAGGCUGCUCAUUUUCAUUCUUUCGUCCAUAUCCGGAUCCAUAUUCGGAACUGGGCUGCUCAUACUCGUUCUUUCGCUCGUACCCAGCCUCAUAUUCGGAACUGGGCUCCUCAUAUUCAGUCUUCCGUCCAUACCCACCGGAUCCAUAUUCCGAAGUAGGUUGUUCAUACUCCGGCUUGCGUCCAUAUUCAGAUCCAGAUCCACCAAAUUCGCUCUCACCAGCGCCAUAACCGCCACCACUUGGGUGGUUCACGGGCU